rnacentral:rRNA from 1 species
UACGAAGGGGGCUAGCGUUGUUCGGAAUUACUGGGCGUAAAGCGCGCGCAGGCGGUCUUCCAAGUCAGUGGUGAAAGCCCGGAGCUCAACUCCGGAACUGCCAUUGAAACUGUUGGACUUGAGUACGAGAGAGGUGAGUGGAAUUCCCAGUGUAGAGGUGAAAAUUCGUAGAUAUUGGGAAGAACACCGGUGGCGAAGGCGGCUCACUGGCUCGGUAACUGACGCUCAGGCGCGACAGCGUGGGGAUCGAAACAGG